rnacentral:rRNA from 1 species
CGCACGGGUGAGUAACGCGUAUGCAAACUGCCUGAUACCGGGGUAUAGCCCAUGGAAACGUGGAUUAACACCCCAUAGUACUUUUAUCCUGCAUGGGAUGUGAGUUAAAUGUUCAAGGUAUCGGAUGGGCAUGCGUCCUAAUUAGUUAGUUGGCGGGGUAACAGCCCACCAAGACGAUGAUAGGUAGGGGUUCUGAGAGGAAGGUCCCCCACAUUGGAACUGAGACACGGUCCAAACUCCUACGGGAGGCAGCAGUGAGGAAUAUUGGUCAAUGGACGUAAGUCUGAACCAGCCAAGUCGCGUGAGGGAAGACUGCCCUAUGGGUUGUAAACCUCUUUUAUAAGGGAAGAAUAAGUUCUACGUGUAGAAUGAUGCCUGUACCUUAUGAAUAAGCAUCGGCUAACUCCGUGCCAGCAGCCGCGGUAAUACGGAGGAUGCGAGCGUUAUCCGGAUUUAUUGGGUUUAAAGGGUGCGUAGGCGGUUUAUUAAGUUAGUGGUUAAAUAUUUGAGCUAAACUCAAUUGUGCCAUUAAUACUGGUAAACUGGAGUACAGACGAGGUAGGCGGAAUAAGUUAAGUAGCGGUGAAAUGCAUAGAUAUAACUUAGAACUCCGAUAGCGAAGGCAGCUUACC